ACUCAAAUGAAUUGACGGGGGCCCGCACAAGCAGUGGAUUAUGUGGUUUAAUUCGAAGCAACGCGAAGAACCUUACCAGGUCUUGACAUCCCUUGCAUAGCAUUGAAAGAUGUGAAACCCUUCGGGGCAAGGAGACAGGUGGUGCAUGGUUGUCGUCAGCUCGUGUCGUGAGAUGUUGGGUUAAGUCCCGCAACGAGCGCAACCCCUACUAUUAGUUGCUACGCAAGAGCACUCUAAUGGGACUGCCGUUGACAAAACGGAGGAAGGUGGGGACGACGUCAAAUCAUCAUGCCCUUUAUGAUCUGGGCUACACACGUAAUACAAUGGUACUUUAACAGAGGGCAGCUACACCGCGAGGUGACGCCAAACCCUAAAAAGUAUCUCAGUUCGGAUUGCAGGCUGCAACUCGCCUGCAUGAAGUCGGAAUUGCUAGUAAUCGCGGAUCAUCAUGCCGCGGUGAAUACGUUCCCGGGCCUUGUACACACCGCCCGU
rnacentral:rRNA from 1 species